GACGAACCGAGCGAACGUUGUUCGGAAUCACUGGGCUUAAAGGGCGCGUAGGCGGGCGGUCAAGUCAGGGGUGAAAGCCUCCAGCUCAACUGGAGAAGUGCCUCUGAUACUGACCGUCUCGAGGGGGAUAGGGGCGUGCGGAACUUCCGGUGGAGCGGUGAAAUGCGUAGAUAUCGGAAGGAACACCGGUGGCGAAAGCGGCGCGCUGGAUCCCUUCUGACGCUGAGGCGCGAAAGCCAGGGGAGCAAACGGG
rnacentral:rRNA from 1 species